GCGGGAUUGACCGUCGACGUAGUUCGAAUCGCUGGAAAACGUUGGCACACAGUUUAAUACUUUUUAUUAUUAUUAUUAUAUGCGUAAUAAUACACACGUACGGAAUAUCGUUGGUACAAUAUUAUUUAUUCAUUUAUUUUUUUAAUUUAUUUAUUAAGAUUAACCGGCUGAGCCCUUUUUAUAUACAGCAUACAUUUAUAUAUAACAUACUACGAUCAUAAAAAUAUUACGAGCACUACGCACGUGUCGAACUACAGAGACUGCCGAAAGCCCAAAACGAGUGGUUGUCAAAGGUACGGGACGCAUUCUGCACGUCUGUUAAAUUAUAGUAUAAUUAGUAAUUGUUAGGAUUUUCCGUAAUAAUUGUAAUUUUAGAUUUUGAGUGUAGCGAAGAACGUGUUGGUUUUACAAAGUUGUUUAUUUUUUUUUUUUUUUAUACUGUGAACAAAAAAUUCUAUCAGGAAUCUUGUUCUGAAGUAGCAGGAAUUGCACCUUUUCUAAAAGGAGAUUUUCCUGGGGGUAAUUUAAGAUGAUAAUUUUUUGAUUUUUCUUAGUUUUCCCAAUCAACGGAGAAAAAUAGACAGAUGGAAAAUGUACGAAAUUUUGGUAUUACAGUCGUUUCCUAUUAAUAGAGACAUUGGUUAAUAAGGACAACCGCUUAAUCCGGACAAUACUUCAAUUACGAAAACAAUGUAUAUUUGUAGUGUAAACGCGUUCACCGCUUAUUUGGGCUACGAAUCCGGAUAAUUGGGACAUUGUUUGGGACAAAAAGAUAAUGAAGAAAACCCCAUAAGUGCUUUGGAUGCUUGUUCAAACUACAUUCGUCAACAAUCGUAAGAAACAAACUAAUAUCG